UGGGAAGUAUUGCAUCAAUGGCAGGCAAGCCAUGGCUGGCAGCCAUGCCGCGCUGUAUGAAGAAGGCCAAUUCGGGCUUGGUUAAAGAUACUUUCAGCGAGGAGGAAGGCGUUGUGGUUAAUAACCGCAGCGAUUGACGUUACUCGCAGAAGAAGCACCGGCUAACUCCGUGCCAGCAGCCGCGGUAAUACGGAGGGUGCAAGCGUUAAUCGGAAUUACUGGGCGUAAAGCGCACGCAGGCGGUCUGUCAAGUCGGAUGUGAAAUCCCCGGGCUCAACCUGGGAACUGCAUCCGAAACUGGCAGGCUAGAGUCUUGUAGAGGG
rnacentral:rRNA from 1 species